rnacentral:rRNA from 1 species
UGGAUCCAGACUUUGAUUCUGGCUCAGGAUGAACGCUGGCGGCGUGCCUAACACAUGCAAGUCGAACGAAGCUUGACGGAUGAUUUCUUCGGAAUGAAACCAGAUACGACUUAGUGGCGGACGGGUGAGUAACACGUGAGCAACCUGCCUUUCAGAGGGGGAUAACGGCUGGAAACGGUCGCUAAUACCGCAUGAUGUGUUCGGAUGGCAUCAUCUGAACAUCAAAGAUUUAUCGCUGAAAGAUGGGCCCGCGUCUGAUUAGAUAGUUGGUGGGGUAACGGCCUACCAAGUCUACGAUCAGUAGCCGGACUGAGAGGUUGAACGGCCACAUUGGGACUGAGAUACGGCCCAGACUCCUACGGGAGGCAGCAGUGGGGAAUAUUGCACAAUGGGGGAAACCCUGAUGCAGCAACGCCGCGUGAAGGAUGACGGUUUUCGGAUUGUAAACUUCUUUUCUUAGUGACGAAGACAGUGACGGUAGCUAAGGAAUAAGCAUCGGCUAACUACGUGCCAGCAGCCGCGGUAAUACGUAGGAUGCAAGCGUUAUCCGGAUUUACUGGGUGUAAAGGGAGCGCAGGCGGGACUGCAAGUUGGAUGUGAAAUACCGUGGCUUAACCACGGAACUGCAUCCAAAACUGUAGUUCUUGAGUGAAGUAGAGGCAAGCGGAAUUCCGAGUGUAGCGGUGAAAUGCGUAGAUAUUCGGAGGAACACCAGUGGCGAAGGCGGCUUGCUGGGCUUUAACUGACGCUGAGGCUCGAAAGUGUGGGGAGCAAACAGGAUUAGAUACCCCGGUAGUCCACACUGUAAACGAUGAUAGCUAGGUGUGGGGGGGUCUGACCCCUUCCGUGCCGGAGUUAACGCAAUAAGCUAUCCACCUGGGGAGUACGACCGCAAGGUUGCAACUCAAAUGAAUUGACGGA